rnacentral:rRNA from 1 species
CCUACGGGAGACAGCAGUGGGGAAUAUUGCACAAUGAGGGAAACCCUGAUGCAGCGACGCCGCGUGAGUGAAGAAGUAAUUCGUUAUGUAAAGCUCUAUCAGCAGGGAAGAAAAUGACGGUACCUGAGUAAGAAGCCCCGGCUAAAUACGUGUCAGCAGCCGCUGUAAUACGUAGGGGGGAAGCGUUAUCCGGAUUUACUGGGUGUAAAGGGAGCGUAGACGGCAGUGCAAGUCUGGAAUGAAAGGCCGGGGCUCAACCCCCGGACUGCUCUGGAAACUAUACGGCUGGAGUGCAGGAGAGGUAAGUGGAAUUCCAAGUGUAGCGGUGAAAUGCGUAGAUAUUAGGAGGAACACCAGAGGCGAAGGCAGCUUACUGGACUGUAACUGACGUUGAGGCUCGAAAGCGUGGGGAGCAAACAGGAUUAGAUACCCCUGUAGUC